rnacentral:lncRNA from 1 species
GGGGCGCAGCCGCUUCCAAAAUCUGCGGGGUUUUCUCCCAGUUCCUCCUAGCCCUGCUUUGUGCCUCGGCUGUGACCUUGUGCCACUGCUGCUGGGCUUUGAGGAGCGAGGCGGGGUGCAGGCAGGGUGACCGAGCCCUGUCCUGGGCUGCUCUGUGCUGUUGUAGCCCCCGGGUUGAUCUUCCUCCUCCUCCUUUUCCUCCUCCUCCUCCUCCUGUGUGCGCCCCUGCUGAAAGCAGCAACUCCCCGAGGGCAGAGGGGAGGGGAAGGGGAUCGGAUGGAGGGGGAGGGGAGCAAUCAGCCGGCGGGAGGAGCAGCUUGGAGAUCUCCGGAGCCCCCCUGUGCCCGAGCCCCCCCUGGUGCUGCUUCGCCGCUCGCAUUUUGGGGCCGUUUUGGCACAGGGGGACACUUCUGCCUGGGGUCUCUCUGCAGGUUUUCCCAGGGAGCAGCGUGGCUGGAGGCGGCUGUCCUGUCCCUCGGGACCCCGAGACCCCCAGCGAUGGAGCUGGAGGAGAAGCCGUUCGUGGGGGACCCCCAGGGUGAGGGGCGCAGGGGAGUCCCUGGACCCCACGGCGCAGGAAAGGGCUGGGCUGCUGUGAAGCACGAGGUUGUGGUGAAAACGGAGCCGGAGGAUGAGCCGGCCAUCGGGUACCCCCAGCACCCAGGGGCGAGGGCCACCACCCCUGGCAUCCCCAGUGUCCCCAGCGUCCCCAGUGUCCCCAGCACCAGCAUCAAAACCGAGCUCGACAUUAAAACCGAGCCUGAGGACGACUCCUACGGUGACUGCUGCCCACGGGAGGAGGAGGAGCCCCCCGACCCCGCUGCCUGCGAUGCCAAACCCGAAGUGAUUGUGAAGGUGGAGCCGGAGGAGGAGGCGUACAUCGGGUGUCCCCAGGGCCCGGGUGACCCGGGAGCUGCAGGUGAGCACUGCAGGGCCAGGACCCGGCUCGUCUCCGCGUCUGGGUGCGAGUGUGAUCAAACUUUGAGUGUGAUCUCUGCACAGAGGCUUUAGAGGAGAGUUUGGAUGUGUGUCUGGUCGUGGGGACAGGUUUGAGGGAGGUGUUUUACCCGGCUGCGGUGCCGAGGCUGCGAUGGCUUCGCCCAGCUCCUCCUGCACCAAGGGGCUGCACUAAUCCAGUGCCACAGCCGAGGCUCUGCAGCCCUGGGGCAGCCUCGGUGGCACCGGGCUGUGGGUGCCUGGGGCUGUCCCUGUGCCGAGCCUGUGCCAAGGCGCAGCUCCGUGCUGGGUUCCCAGGAGCGCAGGGCCACGCACAGCUCCUGGCUCUGCGUCGUGCCAGCGAUUCCCUGGCUCUCUCCUCUUGGUAGGUGGUGAAGGCAAAGGUGAGAAGCGUCCCAAGGAGGAGCCGGAGGAUGUGAAACCAGAGCUGGCUCUGCUGGAGAAAAGCCCAGAGGCUGCUCCCCGUGGCAGCCAGUGGAUGGUGCAGCCGGCGCGGGGUGGCACCGCCGAGCCCCGGGGGCUCUGCGUGGGGACGGGCACGGCUCCCAUCCCCCCAGCGAGCACCGCCGGGCACAAAGUCACAUCGGCACCCGGCACCGAGCCGGCCCGGCGGCCCCGCAGCCACGGCACCGAGCGGCCCUUCGCCUGCAGCGAGUGCGGGAAGAGCUUCCAGCACCGGGGGAACCUCAUCACCCACCUGCGCGUGCACACCGGGGAGAAGCCCUUCGCCUGCACCGUCUGCGGGAAGAGCUUCAGCCAGAAGGGCGACCUGAUGCGGCACCAGCGCAUCCACACGGGCGAGAAGCCCUUCGAGUGCACCGUCUGCGGGAAGAGCUUCUGCUCCAAGCAGACCUUCAUCCUGCACCAGCGCAUCCACACGGGGGAGAAGC